UACGUAGGGUGCAAGCGUUUAAUCGGAAUUACUGGGCGUAAAGCGUGCGCAGGCGGCUUUGCAAGACAGAUGUGAAAUCCCCGGGCUCAACCUGGGAACUGCAUUUGUGACUGCAUGGCUGGAGUGCGGCAGAGGGGGAUGGAAUUCCGCGUGUAGCAGUGAAAUGCGUAGAUAUGCGGAGGAACACCGAUGGCGAAGGCAGCCCCCUGGGUCAAGAUUGACGCUCAUGCACGAAAGCGUGGGGAGCAAACAGG
rnacentral:rRNA from 1 species